AGCGGGAGAGAUACGGCCCACUGUGGGGACAUUCAUCUCCAGAAGAGCUGCUGUGACAGUAAUUGGACUGCAGGACUUUGAGUGUACAUCAUUUCUGCCGCUAUGGAGGAGCAUGUAGCAUUGUUACCCACAAUGACAGUGAUGAAGAGGGCAGCGGGAACCUCACCAGGACCGCCGUGGCCUUGAGAGGACCGCUCCGCUCUGCAGGUAAAUCCAGCUGAACGUGACGGCCGCUGUCCUUCUGAGGGCUCAGUCCUGCUGUGUACAAAUGAACAAAGGGUGAAACAUUUCAGGAUUUUUUGG
rnacentral:lncRNA from 1 species